rnacentral:lncRNA from 1 species
AUUGUUCUCGGUUCGAGGAACUCGUUUCCAACAGGACAGGAACCUUUCGGGACCCUCGAGGCUCUCUGUCCUCCAGCCGGUCCGCACUCCUUUGGUGUCUUUCAAGUUGUCCCGUCCUCCUCCUGUCCUCCGUGCGUCUCCGCAUCUCCUCUCACGCUACCCGUCCCCCCCCCGUUCCACAGCAGGCCCCGGUCCAUAGCGUACGAGCCGCUCUACAGCAGCCGCUACCUGACCCCCGUCCUGGAGACGUUCCGCACCCCCCAUCGGGGCAAAGGCGACUACUGGAUGAGUCCACAGAGGUACCACCUGGCGGGGUCCUGCUGGCGCUCCCCGAAACGUCACCUGCUCGUCUUCCCGGGGAACACGGGAUUCUCCGACGUGCCGUCGAGUCACCUGGCGGGACACUGCAGCCUGCGCACGAGCCUCACGUGGAAGUACCGCUGGCAGAAGCUCCGGGAGCAGGUGGGCCGACUCUACCAUUAGGAUGAUACAUAAAGGGCGAGGCCUGAGGUAAGAGCGCGCUCACACACACACACAGUCCUCUCUCCUGUUCUUUACGUGCUACUGCAGUCAUAGCGUCGGGUUCUAAUUCUGGCACAUUCCCCCCUCACUCUCCCCCUACACACUUGUUCAUUUGUGCGACUGACACUGACCUGCAGGGCCGGACUGGAUCUCGCAAACCUCUGAGUGAUGAACGCCUGCACGGUAACACCAGGGUAAUACCCUUCUGUGUACAGCGCGGUGCCGUCUGGGGUGCGAACACGCUGGCGGUGCAGGUGUGCGCAGAUGUGUGUGAGAAAUGAAGCGGGAGGUGGAGUGUACAGCGACACACUCGCGCUGUCGGGUCACACAGCGACUCUGCGGUAACAAUGGGGAUUAUGAGACAAAGGAGAAGUGUUGUCCUGCUUCCAGAUUUUGGGAUUGGGAUAAGACCCCCCCGGCAUUGAAAAGCAGUGCAUUGCACGCA